rfam:Bradyrhizobiaceae bacterium SG-6C chromosome, whole genome shotgun sequence.
CGACCAGGCCGGGCCCCUCUGGCAGCGUUCAAGCUGCGAUGUCGGACUGGAAUU